GACAGAGGAUGCAAGCGUUAUCCGGAAUGAUUGGGCGUAAAGCGUCUGUAGGUGGCUUUUAAGUCCGCCGUCAAAUCCCAGGCUCAACCCUGGACAGGCGGUGGAAACUACCAAGCUGGAGUACGGUAGGGCAGAGGGAAUUUCCGGUGGAGCGGUGAAAUGCGUAGAGGAUCGGAAAGAACACCAACGGCGAAAGCACUCUGCUGGGCCGACACUGACACUGAGAGACGAAAGCUAGGGAGCGAAUGGG
rnacentral:rRNA from 1 species